ACAUUUAAAAACAAAAAAACCUACCGCGCACAAUAAUGAUGAGCCGGGCCCAAAUCAAAUCAUAACAAGGCCCCAGUCAACCCAACCUUACUCGGAAAUUGUUGGGGGUCUUUUUAGCUUCUGAAACCCCAAGCCCUUGCUUGCCGAAGGUAAAAUUGCAGCCGAAUAGCAUCAUCAUCUCAUCUAACACCACAGACCAGCGCCGGAGUUUCCCUGCAGAAGCUAGCUCAGGUGUUGCUAGCGGCUCAGCUCUUCAGUUUUUCGGCAAGAAGCAUUAUGAAGCUGGCAACCUGCUUGUCCUGUGAUGCAAACGAACCCUGUUUUGGACAAGCACCUGCCAUAAUUCUGUGAUCGUUAUUAGCAGAUGCUUACAUUCACCGAUCAUGAGUGCAUCUUUGUCCAAUUGAAGUAUUUUUGUGUGAAAUUUUCCUUAUUUGCGCUUAUUUGAAAAUAAUGCAAGAUAGACUUGAAGAAAUACUGCUCUUGUUUUCUUGUUUUCAGAAUGAGAUGUUUUAGGGAACAGAUUUGAUAUUUGAAUUCUUUUAUUCAGUAUUUCCUGCCCCAAGCAAUAUUCAAGAGGAUGCAGAUGACCAUAUGUAUGCCAUUUCUUAGUUGCUUCCCAGCUGCUUGCAUACGAGUCUUGCAUUGUGCUAGUGAAUGUGAUAUGAACAUGCUGUCUUAAGAUUGCUCUAUUUCGCAUAUGUUUUUUUUUUUCUUUGCCAAAUUCAUAUGGACACUCCCUGCACUAUAAGUUAUCUUGAAAAAGACACUCGUUUUUUCCAACAAUUUGUUGUGAAUGUUGAGACACUCUUGUGAAAGCAUAAUUGCAGUAUAGUUCAAAUUUAAAAGGUAUUUACUUCAAAUUUAAUGAGUAUUUUAGGUCAUUUGCGGCCACCCCUUGUGUGAGGUUAAUGCAUAGUGACAAUGAUUAGUGAUGAAAGCAGAAGGAGAGAAAGAAAGUGACUUUUAUUGAUUCCCUGCAAAGCUGCAAAGUCAGCUGUAUUACUACCAUUGACUGCAGUACUGAGUACAUUAAGGUAGUGACUUAGAGUUCUUAAGUUUGAUAUUCUGGGCACCUUUGGUUUUAGUUCUAUAAUACCUUAGUUUAUGCUUUCUGGUAAGUUGCGAUGCCUAGGUGAUGAUUACUAGUCAGUUAGAUCCCAUAGUUUGAAUUCUCCGAUUUUGAUCACGAUUCAGGUCUUUUUGGCUCUUGGUGAGAAUACCCCGAGUAACGAAAAAUGGGUUAGAGGCAAGAUUUCCCGUGAAAACAGAAUAUGCUAAUGGCCACUGCUGAUUUUACCUGAAACUGUGGGCAGUGAAGGAGUGAAGAUACAAAUUCAACCUCGCCUCUGCAUAAUGUGGUUUUACCCUUCGUUUUGAUUAAUAGGCUGGUCGGUGGCAUUUUUUUGUUUGGAGGUUAAACAUUUUAAUAAAGAUCCCAGAUGACAUGGCUUGUCUCCUCUCUUUGAAUCCAGAAGUUUCGAAUGAUUUGAUUGGAGGAAGCAUCACAUAAUCUUGUCUGUGUGCUCAGAUAACCCUAAAGAAUUGUAAGAAAAUCAUAUCUCGUGAUCCGAUGUUGCUGAUAAGUGAUGAGAAGUAAAACAAAACCAAGAAGUGACUGCAUGGGCCCAGACAUUUGCUUCCAUGAGGAUGUCCAUUGUCCCCGUAGAACAUCAAGCCAACCAUGGGCAACAUGGGCCAGUUUUCGAGUAUUUUACAAGGCAAGACCUUUACAUUUUUGCUCACUAUAUUUUAAGCAUCAAUCUCCCAGAGCAAAGCUUCCCAUUUGUACAGGGAGGAACUAAAAGUAGUUAAUAAAGAGCCCAGUUCAUGACCAGGACUCCAUGCAGAAAUGCAACCACUUGAGCAACAAGGUUUACUCAAGAGAGGUUGAUAAAACGACACAUGAUAGGUUCAACAGGGUGCAAAAUAUUUAUUAAAUACUCGAGGGUUGAUUUGGUGAGCCGGCAGUACUAAGAAGUGAUCGAGGGUAGUUACAAGCUUGAAGAAGAGAAACAUUAGUGAUAACUAGGGAGAUUACUACAACGAAAUACCCAUGACACAUUGUUGGCUCCAGCUCUUACAAUAAAUUUGACGACCAGUGGAUUAUUCCAUGAGCUAACCAAAUCUUCUGAUCUUUGUGAGCCUUCAGAGAUUUUUUUUAAUUUUUUUUUUAUGUUUUCGAUAGUUAAAAAUAAAUUUUAAAAAAUAAAAAAAAUAUUAUUUUAAUUUAUUUAUAAACAAAAAUUACUUUUAAAAGCAGCUAUUAUUAUAUUCUUAAAUCCCCAUAAUGAAAUAUCAUGAAUUGAACAUGGAUUUUCAACACCCAUUAUAAGAAAUGGUCAAAUUUAGCCAUUCAUUUUUAUUAUGAUUGCAUUAUUAGAGAAUAAUAUAAAUCAUAUAUUAGAUCUUAUCUAAUAAUUUGAGUUUUUGGGUUGAAUUGAUUCUUUUAACAUGGUAUCAGAGCCUUGAUGACCAAGUAGUUACGAGUUCGAGUCUUACCAUUCUCAUUUAUUUGAUAAAAGUUAAGCACAUAGUAGUGUAAGUUUGUGUAAGUUUCAAGCCCAAAAAUCUAUCACUUGAGAAGAAAUGUUAGAAAAUAAUAUAAAUUAUAUUUUAAAAUUUUACCUAACAACUUAAAUUAUUGGAUUGAAUUGUUUAUUUUACCUGCUUUAUCUCACCACUAACUAAUCUUACUUAACUAGUAAUCAUUAUUGAUGUGUAUGAACUUGAUUUGAAAAAAAAUCAACAAAUAAUUAAUUUUAAAGCACUUUAAUGGAAGACAACUGAAUCGACAAGUGACUUUCCUCGCAACAACUCAAGUAGUUAGUCUUUAGUUGGAUCAAUACUAAACAAGAAUCAAAGGAGAAAACUUGCGACAUAAUCAUGGGUUCGACUCCUAAAGAAAAAGUAAAAAAUUGAUUGCCCGAUGGCUUGCAUGAGCAGUUAGGUGCAGGUUCUUUAUUAGUGGAGGUAGAUGCAUGGGCCUCGCAAACUUUCAGUUACUUCAACGGCAGAUUCAAGCCACUUAAUGUCCCUUUUCUGUUCUGUCCACCGAUGCAAGUUCCGAUGAGUUGGUGACAUCUGUGAAGAUCCCUGCACAGAGCACACUGGUGUCUGAAAUGCGAGAUCAGAAAGUAGAAGGGGAGGAUGUAGAAUAGCCUUCAGAGAAUUCGAUACAAGAAAGCAAAGAUAUGAUCAAUGCUGUGUGAAUCCUGUUGUUGAGAUUUCCCUUUCCAGGGACAGAUGGAAUUAAUGAACAUUGAACACUCCUUUUCUCCACCACAAGAAAGAAAUAUAUCUCCAGAAAAGUUAAAAAUUAAGUGGUAGCUUGUAGAUGAAUAAAGAACUAAAGAACAUUGAUCCCAUCAUAGAAAUAGAGAGAAACACUUUUUUCUAAUUGUUUGUAAGAGUGAGUUUUUACUGUAUAGUAAAUUAAAUGAAAAUUAUGAA